rnacentral:misc_RNA from 1 species
GAAAUGCGAUAAGUAAUGUGAAUUGCAGAAUUCAGUGAAUCAUCGAAUCUUUGAACGCACAUUGCGCCCGCCAGUAUUCUGGCGGGCAUGCCUGUUCGAGCGUCAUUUCAACCAUCAAGCCCCCGGGCUUGUGUUGGGGACCUGCGGCUGCCGCAGGCCCCGAAAACCAGUGGCGGGCUCGCUGUCACACCGGGCGUAGUAGAUUUUUCGUCUCGCCCAGGGCGUGCUGCGGGUUCCGGCCGUUAAAAAGCCUCUCUUUUAACCCAAGGUUGACCUCGGAUCAGGUAGGAAGACCCGCUGAACUUAAGC